rnacentral:rRNA from 1 species
UACAGAGGGUGCAAGCGUUAAUCGGAGUUACUGGGCGUAAAGGGCGCGUAGGCGGAUUGUUAAGUGAGAUGUGAAAUCCCCGGGCUUAACCUGGGAACUGCAUCUUAAACUGAUGAUCUGGAGUACUGUAGAGGAUAGUGGAAUUUCCGGUGUAGCGGUGAAAUGCGUAGAGAUCGGAAGGAACACCAGUGGCGAAGGCGACUGUCUGGACAGAUACUGACGCUGAGGCGCGAAAGCCAGGGGAGCAAACGGG